GCGUCCAGUAGAGGGUUAUUUUUGUGUGGUUGAGGUGAUUUGGAUACUGUCUGUUUGUUAUUUGACACAGUGCCUUUCGUUUUGGGUGUGUGUUGUGUCCUGCUUGUGUGAUUGGAUCUCAUCCUGUGCUGCGCUCUGGUUGAGUGAAUGAACUUGCGUCAUGACGUCACAGAGGUGUGAGGGAGGUGUGUGGAUGAACGUAUGUUUUUAAAAUGUUUGAGACUCAGGUGAGAAGCGGCCGCUUUGUCUGGGAAAUGCGGGAGUCGGGAGAGCACGCCACGAAAAUCGCCAUUAACGUUGAGUUGGUGUGUGGAUGAACGUAUGUUUUUAAAAUGUUUGAGACUCAGGUGAGAAGCGGCCGCUUUGUCUGGGAAAUGCGGGAGUCGGGAGAGCACGCCACGAAAAUCGCCAUUAACGUUGAGUUGGUGAGAUAUGUGAAGUUGAAUUAAUUUGUUGUAGUCUAGAGCGCAAAUCAGUUCAUGUUUAGUGCUGCUGUAAUUGUAGCGGCAGGCAACGCAUUCUCCCGACCGUCGCACUUCCCGCCUGGGUAAAUGUAAAUGUUUGAUAUUUAUUCUUUAUAUGCAUGUCUAUUUUAACUAUGUUUGUAUGCCCUAUCGUGAGGUUGCAUUGCCCCCAGCUUGCCUUGUUUCACGGUUGCAGUGCUGUGUGUAUUAAUUGUUUGCAGUAAGAUUUAUACCCGUGUGAGAGGCUGGUGUGAUUUUGAUAUUGCCUUAUAGCGUGACCCUUGCAGUAAGAUUUAUACCCGUGUGAGAGACUGGUGUGAUUUUGAUAUUGCCUUAUAGCGUGAUCCUUGCAGUGUUACUUUUACACGUUUGUUUGCAGGGUUGGGGGUACUUGAACCUUUGUGUCUGUGGUAGUACAAGCCAUUAUCUUAUCUAUGAAUUAACAAAAUAAAUACGUUUUGCUACAA